GGAAGAGCAGCCAGUGCUCUUAACCUCUGAGCCACCUCUCCAGCCCAGACAUCCUUGUUAUUUUUCCAUCCUCCCUCCUUCUUCUGUAUUUACCUCGCCCUGAAGGACUCCUCUUUCCUGUUUCCCUGAGCAGAUCACUUGUACCUUGCCAUUCCCCUUUCUAUUGUUCCUGUCCCCCCCCCCCCCAUCCUGGCAAUGAUCCUGUUUUACUUUCCUGAUUUUUGUAGUUCCUAUAGACUACGAACUCAAUUCUGAAGAUUUGAAGACCAUUUCCUGUUGCCUGCAAGAUACGGGACUCUCAGCUACUUCUACAGCACUGUGUCUGCCUGUAUGUCACCAUGCUCCCCAUGGUGAUGAUAAUGGACUGAAGCUCUGAAACUGCUUAAAGAACAUCUCGCAAGACCCUAAGACAAUUGUUAACUAAACUUUCCAUGAAUGAUACUGUCCCCAAAGGAGGACCAACAUGGCGCUGUAGGGCAGAGUGAAGACAGUUGCCUCUGGCCCUCCCUGCUGAGAUCGGUGGCUGGAAUCCAGGAUUACAAUGGAAUUGCAAUUGGUCAACUCAAGCCUUGAGAAUCCUGUGUGGCUAGCUUCCACAUGGCCUGUGAAACUGCAGAUGGUCUCUUCCAGGAAGAGGCUGAAGAGGGAGGGAGAAAGAACUCUACAGAGUCCCAGGGGAGGAAGUGAACUCUUACUUCUUUCUUGCUUAGUUUCCCAGAAUUGCCUCUAACUCCCAAGAAAUGAGUGUUCUCUACAUUUCUUAGGAAAUCCAGGCAUUUUAUUUAUUUUG
rnacentral:lncRNA from 1 species